rnacentral:rRNA from 1 species
AGGUGAGGUAACGGCCCACCAAGGCGAUGASGUGUAGUUAUGCUGAGAGGUAGAAUAACCACAAUGGGAYUGAGACACGGCCCAUACUCCUACGGGAGGCAGCAGUAGGGAAUUUUUCACAAUGGACGAAAGUCUGAUGGAGCAAUGCCGCGUGAACGAUGAAGGUCUUAAMGGAUUGUAAAGUUCUUUUAUUUGGGAAGAAUUGCUAGCAAAGGAAAUGUUGCUAGUUUGACGGUMCCC